UGAAGAAGAAGGAAGGUGAAAAAAUGUCAAAGGGAAGGAGUGAGAGGAAGCGCGCUGGAAUGUUGUUUGACAAAUAGAUGAAGGGGAAAAUAUUCUUUAACAAGAAGAACAGAGACAGGGUUGUUUUCAUCUUGGAAGAACCACCCCAGUCUUCCCAUUAGUUCUGACCAGCUUCCCUGUCCCUGCUGAAGAAAAGCAACCCACAGCAUGAUGAUGCCACCCCCAUGUUUUGCUGUGUGUAUGGGGUGUUCAGGAGUGUUCCAUGCAUGGGGAGCUGCCUGCUGUGUUUCAUGGUCUCCAUGAUGCUGUUUUUUCAUUAAUUUUCUACAACAAACAUCUGAAGUCUUCACAGAACAUCUGGACUUAUACUGAGAUAAAAUCUCAAGUGUAUUCUAUUUACUAAUCAGGUAUUUUCUACUUACACUGCAUUUUAUAUAAUGGCAUCAGUGAAAUGGAAGACCUCUAAAGACUCCCAUGCCUGUUGUCUGGACCUGAAGCAGAAUAAUUUUUAAAUUUAACACUUGCUGAAGAGGAAGAAGACUGAUGAAGAAACCUGGGGAGAUAGAAACUGUUAAAUUCUCAUGAGCAGGAAGAGUGUUUCUUUUUGACUGAUGUACCGCUCAAAGGCAACUGGAAGAGAAGAGAAAAAAAGAAGGCAACUUGAGAGGAGGAGAUAGAUAUGUAACAAUAACUGCUGAAGUGCCAUUCAUAUUCUCAAAGGGAACAGCUUUCCUUCUUUGAUCAGAUUUAUAGGUAAUAUCCUCUCCAGAAAAAAUAAUCAUCCGCCUACAGUGUCUUCCAAAGGUAUUCAUUUCUCUUGAAACGUUUCCAUAACCAUGCAAGGUUUUAC